GACGAACGCUGGCGGCGUGCUUAACACAUGCAAGUCGAACGGAAAGGCCCUGCUUUUGUGGGGUGCUCGAGUGGCGAACGGGUGAGUAACACGUGAGUAACCUGCCCUUGACUUUGGGAUAACUUCAGGAAACUGGGGCUAAUACCGGAUAGGAGCUCCUGCUGCAUGGUGGGGGUUGGAAAGUUUCGGCGGUUGGGGAUGGACUCGCGGCUUAUCAGCUUGUUGGUGGGGUAGUGGCUUACCAAGGCUUUGACGGGUAGCCAGCCUGAGAGGGUGACCGGCCACAUUGGGACUGAGAGACGGCCCAGACGCCUACGGGAGGCAGCAGUGGGGAAUAUGGCACAAUGGGCGGAAGCGUGAGGCAGCAACGCCGCGUGCGGGAUGACGGCUUUCGGGUUGUAAACCGAUUUCGCCGGUGACGAAGCGGGAGUGACGGUAAUGGGUAAAGAAGCACCGGCUAACUACGUG
rnacentral:rRNA from 1 species